rnacentral:rRNA from 1 species
UACGGAGGGUCCAAGCGUUAUCCGGAAUCAUUGGGUUUAAAGGGUUCGUAGGCGGUUUUGUAAGUCAGUGGUGAAAGCCCAUCGCUCAACGGUGGAACGGCCAUUGAUACUGCAAGACUUGAAUUAUUAGGAAGUAACUAGAAUAUGUAGUGUAGCGGUGAAAUGCUUAGAGAUUACAUGGAAUACCAAUUGCGAAGGCAGGUUACUACUAAUGGAUUGACGCUGAUGGACGAAAGCGUGGGUAGCGAACAGG